rnacentral:rRNA from 1 species
ACGGCUCAGUAACACGUGGACAACCUGCCCUUAGGUUGGGUAUAAACCCGGGAAACUGGGUAUAAUACCCGAUAGGUCUCGAUUGCUGGAAUGCAUCGAGAUUUAAAGCUCCGGCGCCUAAGGAUGGGUCUGCGGCCUAUCAGGUAGUAGUGGGUGUAGCGUACCUACUAGCCUACGACGGGUACGGGUUGUGAGAGCAAGAGCCCGGAGAUGGAUUCUGAGACACGAAUCCAGGCCCUACGGGGUGCAGCAGGCGCGAAAACUUUACAAUGCUGGCAACAGCGAUAAGGGAACCUCGAGUGCCAGGUUACAAAUCUGGCUGUCGAGAUGCCUAAAAAGCAUUUCAUAGCAAGGGCCGGGCAAGACCGGUGCCAGCCGCCGCGGUAACACCGGCGGCUCGAGUGGUAACCGUUAUUAUUGGGUCUAAAGGGUCUGUAGCCGGCCGGAUAAGUCUCUUGAGAAAUCUGGCAGCUUAACUGUCAGGCUUUCAGGAGAUACUGUCUGGCUCGAGGCCGGGAGAGGUGAGAGGUACUUCAGGGGUAGGGGUGAAAUCUUGUAAUCCUUGAAGGACCACCAGUGGCGAAGGCGUCUCACCAGAACGGACCUGACGGCAAGGGACGAAAGCUAGGGGCACGAACCGGAUUAGAUACCCGGGUAGUCCCAGCCGUAAACGAUGUGCGUUAGGUGUAUCGACGACCACGAGUCGUCGAGGUGCCGAAGGGAAACCGUGAAACGUACCGCCUGGGAAGUACGGUCGCAAGGCUGAAACUUAAAGGAAUUGGCGGGGGAGCAC